GACGAACGCUGGCGGCGUGCCUAAUACAUGCAAGUCGAACGCAGUGGGGACGGGGGAGUAACACGUGGGUAACCUCCCCAUAAGAGGGGAUAACACUUGGAAACAGGUGCUAAACCGAUACUGAUGGAUGGACCCCAGGUGCAUUAGCUAGUUGGUGAGGUAACGGCUCACCAAGGCCACGUUGCAUAGCACACCUGAGAGGGUGAUCGACCAAACUGGGACUGAGACCGGGCCCCGAGUCCGACUGGAGGCAGGAGUGGGAAAUCGUCGGCAAUGGACGAAAGUCUCAGAGAGCAGCGCCGGGUUAGUGAAGAAGGUUUUCGGAGCGUAAAACUCAGUUGUUAGAGAAGCGGUAUCUAACCAGAAAGCCACGGCUAACUAGGUGCCAGCGGCGGCGGGAAUUC
rnacentral:rRNA from 1 species